AACGAACGCUGGCGGCGUGCUUAACACAUGCAAGUCGAACGCGAAAGGGACUUCGGUCCCGAGUAGAGUGGCGCACGGGUGAGUAACGCGUAAGUAAUCUACCCCUGUAUUCGGAAUACCCCACCGAAAGGUGAGCUAAUACCGGAUACGUUUAUCUUGAUGCGAAUGAUGAUAAAGAAAGGUGGCCUCUUCUUGAAAGCUACUGUACAGGGACGAGCUUGCGUACCAUUAGCUAGUUGGUAGGGUAAUGGCCUACCAAGGCGACGAUGGUUAGCGGGUCUGAGAGGAUGAUCCGCCACACUGGAACUGGAACACGGACCAGACUCCUACGGGAGGCAG
rnacentral:rRNA from 1 species